rnacentral:rRNA from 1 species
CCUACGGGAGGCUGCAGUCGAGAAUCAUUCUCAAUGGACGAAAGUCUGAUGGUGCGACGCAGCGUGAAGGAAUGCAGGUCUUCGGAUUGUAAACCUCUGUCAUGUGGGAGUAAAUUGUUAAGAUAGUACGACAAGAGGUAGAGAAGGCUAACUCUGUGCCAGCAGCCGCGGUAAUACAGAGGUCUCAAGCGUUGUUCGGAAUCACUGGGCGUAAAGCGUGCGUAGGCUGUUUCGUAAGUCGGGUGUGAAAGGCUGGGGCUCAACCUUUAGAUGGCACAUGAUACUGGGAGGCUAGAGUAAAGGAGGGGUGGCCGGAAUUCGCGGUGUAGCAGUGAAAUGCGUAGAUAUCGAGAAGAACACUCGUGGCGAAGGCAGGUCCCUGGACAUCAACUGACGCUGAGGCACGAAGGCCAGGGGAGCGAAAGGGAUUAGAUACCCUAGUAGUC